rnacentral:rRNA from 1 species
UACGUAGGGUGCGAGCGUUGUCCGGAUUCAUUGGGCGUAAAGGGUGCGUAGGCGGCGCGGUAAGUCGGGUGUGAAAUCUCGGGGCUUAACUCCGAAACUGCAUUCGAUACUGCCGUGCUUGAGGACUGGAGAGGAGACUGGAAUUUACGGUGUAGCGGUGAAAUGCGUAGAUAUCGUAAGGAAGACCAGUGGCGAAGGCGGGUCUCUGGACAGUUCCUGACGCUGAGGCACGAAGGCCAGGGGAGCAAACGGG